rnacentral:lncRNA from 1 species
GAAGAUCACUAACAUCUCUACAGCCUCCAGACCUCCAGACCUCAUCAGCCACAAUGCGUUUCUCUCUGACCUUCCAUCAAAUGGCCUGCAUCUUUUUUAUAACAGUGUUUCUGUCCAGCUGUGUGCUCGGAGUGUUCUCUAAUGACACAAAGAAGAAAACCUGCUGUCCCAGAGUCAGCAAAGCCGCUUUACAUAGCCAAAUCGAAAUGUGUGCACGUGUUUCUGGCAGAAAAAAUAUCUUCGGCAAAACAUUAUGCCAUGAGGCUUAUCUGUUCAUCACAAAGAAUGGAAAGAAGCACUGCAUCGAUGUAAACGCCAGAUGGAUCAAUGAAAUACUGGAACAAUUAAAGGAGGACGGAAACCCGUGUAAGGGUACAACCAAUUAAAAAAGCACGCAGCCUAGAUGGUCACCACUUCCGUCACUUCCUUCAGUUCUCUGAGAACCUACCUUCAUUCCAGCAAAAAAAAAGAAAUUAUUCUGUUUACAUGACAUUUAGCUAUCAACUUUGUAUUCAUACAGAGUAUUUGUAUAUUUUUGUAUCUAUUUAAUUGUUUUGAAAUACAAUCACUGUUUUCAAUAUGUAUUUAAAUGUAACUUAAAAAACAUCACGUG